ACUCCUACGGGAGGCAGCAGUGGGGAAUAUUGCACAAUGGGCGCAAGCCUGAUGCAGCGACGCCGCGUGAGGGAUGACGGCCUUCGGGUUGUAAACCUCUUUCACCAGGGACGAAGCGCAAGUGACGGUACCUGGAGAAGAAGCACCGGCCAACUACGUGCCAGCAGCCGCGGUAAUAC
rnacentral:rRNA from 1 species